UUGAAAGGGAAACGAUUGAAGUCAGUCGUACCUGCGGAUAAUCAGCCUUUAGGAUGCGAUUUUGUGGAGCAUGAGGAGCUAAUCGCCUUCAUGCCUGUAUAUUCGUGUACUUGGGGUGUACUUAUUCGUGUGGUAAGUUAACAUCAAUUUUGGUCGUCAUAAAAUGACUGGAGGAAUGCAGCUUCGAUCUCGUAUUGAAGUGUUAUAGCCUUUGGUAGAUGUGAUUAUCGGGAUUGAGGAUUGCAACGAAUACCCUUUUGGGCUAUCCGCCUGAUCUCUG
rnacentral:rRNA from 1 species